AAAACCUGAAGAGACUUUUUGG
rnacentral:miRNA from 1 species